rnacentral:rRNA from 1 species
AUUGAACGCUGGCGGCAGGCCUAACACAUGCAAGUCGAACGGUGGCACAGAGAGCUUGCUCUCGGGUGACGAGUGGCGGACGGGUGAGUAACGUCUGGGAAACUGCCCGAUGGAGGGGGAUAACUACUGGAAACGGUAGCUAAUACCGCAUAACGUCGCAAGACCAAAGUGGGGGACCUUCGGGCCUCACACCAUCGGAUGUGCCCAGAUGGGAUUAGCUAGUAGGUGGGGUAAUGGCUCACCUAGGCGACGAUCCCUAGCUGGUCUGAGAGGAUGACCAGCAACACUGGAACUGAGACACGGUCCAGACUCCUACGGGAGGCAGCAGUGGGGAAUAUCGCACAAUGGGCGCAAGCCUGAUGCAGCCAUGCCGCGUGUAUGAAGAAGGCCUUCGGGUUGUAAAGUACUUUCAGCGGGGAGGAAGGCGGUGAAGUUAAUAGCUUCACCGAUUGACGUUACCCGCAGAAGAAGCACCGGCUAACUCCGUGCCAGCCGCCGCCGUAA